rnacentral:rRNA from 1 species
CGUGGGUAACCUGCCCAUAAGACUGGGAUAACUCCGGGAAACCGGGGCUAAUACCGGAUAAUAUUUUGAACUGCAUGGUUCGAAAUUGAAAGGCGGCUUCGGCUGUCACUUAUGGAUGGACCCGCGUCGCAUUAGCUAGUUGGUGAGGUAACGGCUCACCAAGGCAACGAUGCGUAGCCGACCUGAGAGGGUGAUCGGCCACACUGGGACUGAGACACGGCCCACACUCCUACGGGAGGCAGCAGUAGGGAAUCUUCCGCAAUGGACGAAAGUCUGACGGANCAACGCCGCGUGAGUGAUGAAGGCUUUCGGGUCGUAAAACUCUGUUGUUAGGGAAGAACAAGUGCUAGUUGAAUAAGCUGGCACCUUGACGGUACCUAACCACAAAGCCACGGCUAACUACGUGCCANCAGCCGCGGUAAUACGUAGGUGGCAAGCGUUAUCCGGAAUUAUUGGGCGUAAAGCGCGCGCAGGUGGUUUCUUAAGUCUGAUGUGAAAGCCCACGGCUCAACCGUGGAGGGUCAUUGGAAACUGGGAGACUUGAGUGC